rnacentral:rRNA from 1 species
AACGAACGCUGGCGGCAGGCCUAACACAUGCAAGUCGAACGAGACCUUCGGGUCUAGUGGCGCACGGGUGCGUAACGCGUGGGAACCUGCCCUUAGGUUCGGAAUAACUCCCCGAAAGGGGUGCUAAUACCGGAUAAUGUCUUCGGACCAAAGAUUUAUCGCCUUUGGAUGGGCCCGCGUUGGAUUAGCUAGUUGGUAGUGUAAAAGCCUACCAAGGCGACGAUCCAUAGCUGGUCUGAGAGGAUGAGCAGCCACACUGGGACUGAGACACGGCCCAGACUCCUACGGGAGGCAGCAGUGGGGAAUAUUGGAAAAUGGGCGAAAGCCUGAUCGAGCAAUGCCGCGUGAGUGAUGAAGUCCUUAGGGUUGUAAAGCUCUUUUACCCGGGAUGAUAAUGACAGUACCGGGAGAAUAAGCUCCGGCUAACUCCGUG